AAAACAAACCUACGGGAGGCAGCAGUAGGGAAUAUUGGGCAAUGGAGGCAACUCUGACCCAGCCAUGCCGCGUGCAGGAUGAAGGCGCUCAGCGUUGUAAACUGCUUUUAUUGGUGAAGAAAACUUGUCCUGCGGGAUGAAUUGACGGUAGCCAAGGAAUAAGCACCGGCUAACUCCGUGCCAGCAGCCGCGGUAAUACGGAGGGUGCAAGCGUUGUCCGGAUUUAUUGGGUUUAAAGGGUGCGUAGGUGGGUGUUUAAGUCUGGUUUGAAAGCAGGCGGCUUAACCGUCUGAUGUGGCUGGAAACUGGACAUCUUGAAUGGGUUGGCGGUAGCCGGAAC
rnacentral:rRNA from 1 species